CGCGACUUUGACCUUUGACCACUAACUAGCUCAACGGCACGCGGUGCCUACGACGAGCUUCAACGCAAACAUCACAGAAACAGUAAAAACACUUUUUUAAAGGUUCACAGACGAAACCAUUAUUGAUUAAUAACUAAAUGGCGGAUUAAUGGACACAAAAGGCGCCGGAGGUCGACGGGGUCAAAGAGACAAAGAGACACCAGGAAGGAUGCAAUAAAGAAAAGAAUAAAAACCCGUCUCGUCCGCUGAGUCGUUCAGCACUUUGCCCCCCCCCCUGCCUGCCCCCCCCGGCCAUGAGGUAAUCGCUUCAGGGACUCAAAGCGGUGCUCCUACCUGUGACCUUUGACCUGUGACACAAAGCUGCUGACAGGGGACGACCGCCGGGGGACAUCCGAUGAAAGGUUAUUACCUUGAUGGGAGGCACUGGUCUGGACUGGAGGUGACCCAGUGCAGAUGGAUCGGAGCCCGCUGACCCCUCCUCUUCAUCCGGGGGGGUCAAAGGUCCUAACAAUCAGAACUCGGUACCAGGACAGAAGAAGAACGAUUGGUGCAUCAUCACUCUUUAGUCUUCUGACCUUCUAACCAACGCAUAUUUACGAAAUAUGAUAUUCUACCAUAAAUCAGUCGAUUCAUUAGUCAACAGGUUGAACCAGAGCUGCUCUGAGAUCAGCUUUGUGAUGCAUGAACGGGACGACAUUGAACAAGAAAAGGUAAGAGGAGCGAGAGGAGGACGGGGGAGGUGGCGUCCCAGAAGAUCAGAGCAGUGGCCUCCAGUGAGUAAAUGUGUCUUCCGCCAUGUUCAAAGACAUUCAAGCGGUUGGUUGCACACUGACCCUGCUGACCUCACAAGGUGUUCCACACACACACACACACACACAUAUGAACACACACAUGCACACACACACACAGUCACGGUGGCGUUACGUCACAUAUCAGGUGUCUCUUUUAAUAAUAAUAUUAUUAUUAAACUGUGCAUUUACAAAGGGUUGACUUUGAAGGCAGCGUCUUGUGCCUUUACUUGUUUCAGGUAUAGAACGUUGUAACUUAAUUAUUACCAUUAUGAUUAUUAUUACAUGACAUCACACGUCAU
ensembl:lncRNA